GACGAACGCUGGCGGCGUGCUUAACACAUGCAAGUCGAACGAAAAGAGGGAAAGAGCUUGCUCUUUCCGGAAUUGAGUGGCAAACGGGUGAGUAACACGUAAACAACCUGCCUUCAGGAUGGGGACAACAGACGGAAACGACUGCUAAUACCGAAUAAGUUCCAAGGGCCGCAUGGCCCAUGGAAGAAAAGGUGGCCUCUACCUGUAAGCUAUCGCCUGAAGAGGGGUUUGCGUCUGAUUAGCUGGUUGGAGGGGUAACGGCCCACCAAGGCGACGAUCAGUAGCCGGUCUGAGAGGAUGAACGGCCACACUGGAACUGAGACACGGUCCAGACUCCUACGGGAGGCAGCAGUGGGGAAUCUUCCGCAAUGGGCGAAAGCCUGACGGAGCAACGCCGCGUGAGUGAUGACGGCCUUCGGGUUGUAAAACUCUGUGAUCAGGGACGAAAAGGCAGAGUGCGAAGAACAAACUGCAUUGACGGUACCGGAAAAGCAAGCCACGGCUAACUACGUG
rnacentral:rRNA from 1 species